rnacentral:rRNA from 1 species
GGCAGCAGCCGCGGUAACACCGGCGGCCCGAGUGGUGAUCGUGAUUAUUGGGUCUAAAGGGUCCGUAGCCGGUUUGGUCAGUCCUCCGGGAAAUCUGAUAGCUCAACUAUUAGGCUUUCGGGGGAUACUGCCAGACUUGGAACCGGGAGAGGUAAGAGGUACUACAGGGGUAGGAGUGAAAUCUUGUAAUCCCUGUGGGACCACCUGUGGCGAAGGCGUCUUACCAGAACGGGUUCGACGGUGAGGGACGAAAGCUGGGGGGCACGAACCGGAUUAGAUACCCGGGUAGUCCCAGCCGUAAACGAUGCUCGCUAGGUGUCAGGCAUGGCGCGACCGUGUCUGGUGCCGCAGGGAAGCCGUGAAGCGAGCCACCUGGGAAGUACGGCCGCAAGGCUGAAACUUAAAGGAAUUGGCGGGGGAGCACAACAACGGGUGGGAAGCCUGCGGUUUAAUUGGACUCAACGCCGGACAACUCACCGGGGGCGACAGCAAUAUGUAGGCCAAGCUGAAGACUUUGCCUGAAUCGCUGAGAGGAGGUGCAUGG